rnacentral:rRNA from 1 species
GACGAACGCUGGCGGCGUGCUUAACACAUGCAAGUCGAACGAGGAGCGAUGGAAGCUUGCUUCUAUCAAUCUUAGUGGCGAACGGGUGAGUAACGCGUAAUCAACCUGCCCUUCAGAGGGGGACAACAGUUGGAAACGACUGCUAAUACCGCAUACGAUCUAAUCUCGGCAUCGAGGAUAGAUGAAAGGUGGCCUCUACAUGUAAGCUAUCACUGAAGGAGGGGAUUGCGUCUGAUUAGCUAGUUGGAGGGGUAACGGCCCACCAAGGCGAUGAUCAGUAGCCGGUCUGAGAGGAUGAACGGCCACAUUGGGACUGAGACACGGCCCAGACUCCUACGGGAGGCAGCAGUGGGGAAUCUUCCGCAAUGGACGAAAGUCUGACGGAGCAACGCCGCGUGAGCGAUGACGGCCUUCGGGUUGUAAAGCUCGGUUAAUCGGGACGAAAGGCCUUCUUGCGAAUAGUGAGAAGGAUUGACGGUACCGGAAUAGAAAGCCACGGCUAACUACGUG